GGGUCAGUAGGUUGGUCGUGCCACCGGUACGUACUGGUCUCACUGAUUCCUCCUUCCUGAAGAACCGUAAUGCCAUUAAUUUGGUGUUGCGGGGAAACAGGACUGUUACUUUGAAAAAAUUAGAGUGUUUAAAGCAAGCUAACGCUUGAAUGCAUUAGCAUGGAAUAAUGAAAUAGGACGAUCGAUCCUAUUUUAUUGGUUUCUAGGAUUGACGUA
rnacentral:rRNA from 1 species